UACGGGGGGAGCAAGCGUUGUUCGGAUUUACUGGGCGUAAAGGGCGCGUAGGCGGUCGUGACAAGUCACUUGUGAAAUCUCCGGGCUUAACUCGGAACGGUCAAGUGAUACUGUCGGACUAGAGUACAGAAGGGGCAACUGGAAUUCUCGGUGUAGCGGUGAAAUGCGUAGAUAUCGAGAGGAACACCUGCGGCGAAAGCGGACUUCUGGGCUGUUACUGACGCUGAGGUACGAAAGCGUGGGGAGCAAACGGG
rnacentral:rRNA from 1 species